UGUCGUGAUGAUGGCACUGAGGUCAUACCUGUUCCCAUACCGAACACAGCAGUUAAGCUCAGUAGCGCCAAAAGUAGUUGGAGGAUCGCCUCCUGUGAGGAUAGGACAUCGCGAUGC
rnacentral:rRNA from 1 species